rnacentral:pre_miRNA from 1 species
CAACUACUCCCUCUGUCCCAAAUUUCUUGUCUUAGAUUUGUCUAGAUAUGAAUGUAUCUAAUACUAAAAUGUGACUUGAUACAUCCGUAUCUAGACAAAUCUAAGACAAGAAUUUUGGGGCGGAGGGAGUACUUU